GAGGAAUAUUGGUCAAUGGACGAGAGUCUGAACCAGCCAAGUAGCGUGAAGGAUGACUGCCCUAUGGGUUGUAAACUUCUUUUAUACGGGAAUAAAGUUAGCCACGUGUGGCUUUUUGUAUGUACCGUAUGAAUAAGGAUCGGCUAACUCCGUGCCAGCAGCCGCGGUAAUACGGAGGAUCCGAGCGUUAUCCGGAUUUAUUGGGUUUAAAGGGAGCGUAGGCGGGUUGUUAAGUCAGUUGUGAAAGUUUGCGGCUCAACCGUAAAAUUGCAGUUGAUACUAGCGACCUUGAGUGCAACAGAGGUAGGCGGAAUUCGUGGUGUAGCGGUGAAAUGCUUAGAUAUCACGAAGAACUCCGAUUGCGAAGGCAGCUUACUGGAUUGUAACUGACGCUGAUGCUCGAAAGUGUGGGUAUCAAACAGGAUUAGAUACCCUGGUAGUCCACACAGUAAACGAUGAAUACUCGCUGUUGGCGAUAUACGGUCAGCGGCCAAGCGAAAGCAUUAAGUAUUCCACCUGGGGAGUACGCCGGCAACGGUGAAACUCAAAGGAAUUGACGGGGGCCCGCACAAGCGGAGGAACAUGUGGUUUAAUUCGAUGAUACGCGAGGAACCUUACCCGGGCUUAAAUUGCAACUGACUGAACCGGAAACGGUUCUUUCUUCGGACAGUUGUGAAGGUGCUGCAUGGUUGUCGUCAGCUCGUGCCGUGAGGUGUCGGCUUAAGUGCCAUAACGAGCGCAACCCUUAUCGAUAGUUACUAGCAGGUCAUGCUGAGGACUCUAUUGAGACUGCCGUCGUAAGAUGUGAGGAAGGUGGGGAUGACGUCAAAUCAGCACGGCCCUUACGUCCGGGGCUACACACGUGUUACAAUGGGGGGUACAGAAGGCAGCUACACGGCGACGUGGUGCUAAUCCCGAAAGCCUCUCUCAGUUCGGAUUGGAGUCUGCAACCCGACUCCAUGAAGCUGGAUUCGCUAGUAAUCGCGCAUCAGCCACGGCGCGGUGAAUACGUUCCCG
rnacentral:rRNA from 1 species